rnacentral:rRNA from 1 species
UACCUGCAGCUCGAGUGGUAACCGCUAUUAUUGGGCCUAAAGCGUCCGUAGCCGGUUUGGUAAAUAUCUGGGUAAAUCGUGAGGCUUAACUUCACGAAUUUCGGAUAGACUGCCAGACUUGGGAUCGGGGGAGGUCAGAGGUACUCCAGGGGUAGCGGUGAAAUGUUGUAAUCCUUGGAGGACCACCGGUGGCGAAGGCGUCUGACUAGAACGAGUCCGACGGUGAGGGACGAAGCCCUGGGGCGCAAACCGGAUUAGAUACCCGGGUAGUCCAGGGUGUAAACAAUGUGGGCUUUGUAUUGGAGGUCCCACGUGGGCGUCCAGUGCAGAAGAGAAGUUGUUAAGCCCACCGCCUGGGAAGUACGGUCGCAAGGCUGAAACUUAAAGGAAUUGGCGGGGAGCACAGCAACGGGAGGAGCGUGCGGUUU